GAUGAAGAACGUAGUGAAAUGCGAUACGUAAUGUGAAUUGCAGAAUUCAGUGAAUCAUCGAGUCUUUGAACGCACAUUGCGCCCCCUGGUAUUCCGAGGGGCAUGCCUGUCCGAGCGUCAUUGCUGCCCUCAAGCACGGCUUGUGUGUUGGGCCUCCGUCCUCCUCCCGGGGGACGGGCCCGAAAGGCAGCGGCGGCACCGCGUCCGGUCCUCGAGCGUAUGGGGCUUCGUCACCCGCUCUUGUAGGCCCGGCCGGCGCUUGCCGACACAUCAAUCUUUUUUCCAGGUUGACCUCGGAUCAGGUAGGGAUACCCGCUGAACUUAAGCAUAUCAAUAAGCGGAGGA
rnacentral:misc_RNA from 1 species